AUCCAGCUGACGAGUCCUAAAUAGGACGAAACGCGCGUCCUG
rnacentral:hammerhead_ribozyme from 1 species